UUUUGUCUCUGAAAUUUUGGUUCAGCACCGAUCUAGUAAUCUGUGUGGAUUAAAAGGGAAUCAGGAGAAAUUUGAUUUAUGAACUGUAAAUUCAGAUUAAAGCCUGAGCUGUUCCCGCAACUGUAUGCUUAGCCCUUUAGGGUGACUGCAAUAAUUCUUCAAACCACUGCCCAUACGGGUGGGAAGGUGAAUUGUAGUACGCGAGCCAGGAGACCUGCCUGAAUUUCACCAAUAUC
rnacentral:ncRNA from 2 species